AAAGAAAUAUCUAAAAAAAGCUUCUAACUUUUUUACAAGCACUCGCAUGUUUAU
rnacentral:tRNA from 1 species